AAGAAGAUCGUAAUCGUGAUAUAGCAGAGUUUACCAAUAAAAUUCCGCAAUCGCGUGAGCCACGCGCCCCGGCGGUACCCUCUCUCCCCUUAACCCUUCUUUCCCAACAUGUUUACCGCACGUGCCAAUUCGCCAUCCGGCGCCCCCUUCGCCGCACUUACUUUAUCUCACCCACUCGCCAAAAUUAUUAAUCCUCUGUCUACUCUCUUCUCUGUCAAAUCUUCAACCUCAGAUCACCGUCGAAAUUACCAUAAUCGCUGAUUCUAGAUCCAUGAGCGAUUUUAUGGAAUCGUCGACGCCGGCGCGUCAGGUACCGUUCCGAGAGGAUUGUUGGACGGAGGAGGCCACUUCGACGUUGGUUGACGCAUGGGGCCGCCGUUACUUGGAGCUCAACCGUGGGAAUCUCCGACAGAAGGAUUGGCAGGAGGUAGCUGACGCCGUUAACGCACGCCACGGUCAUACCAAGAAGACGCACCGCACCGAUGUUCAGUGCAAGAAUCGAAUCGAUACCCUCAAGAAGAAGUAUAAGAUUGAGAAGGCCAAGAUUGCUGAGUCUAAUGGAAACCUAACCUCGUCAUGGCCUUUCUUUUCUCGUCUUGAUGUUUUGAUCGGCUCUAAUUUUAACAAGCAGCAGAAAUUUACGCCAUCGCCUAUCCCGUUGGUGUCUCAAUCGACGCCGUCGUUGCCCCUGCCGUCGCCUCCGAUGGCUGUUCCGUUACCGUUUCGUAAUUUGCCAUCUGCGAUGUUUCCUACGGCUAUUUUGCCUCAGAAGCGUCCCUUUUCCUCUUCAUCACCACCGCCACCAAUGGUGGAGGAGUCGUAUUUCAGGAGGAAUUACUCUGCCAUGGCUGCUGCCGCCGCUGCGGCCGAGGAUGCACCUGAUGCAGAGGAUGAGGGAGACUCGGGUGGGGAUGAAAUUGAAGUGAGCGAAGAGAGGGGCGCGGAAGUGGAGGAGGGAGAUGAGGGGAUGAGGAGAUUGGCAAAGGCGAUAGAGAGGUUUGGAGAAAUUUAUGAGAGGGUGGAAAGCAUGAAGCAGAGGCAGGUGAUGGAGCUGGAGAAGCAGAGGAUGCAAUUCGCCAAGGAAUUGGAGGUUCAGAGGAUGCAGUUAUUUAUGGAUACUCAGGUCCAACUCGAGAAGAUCAAGCAGGCUAAGCAAGCUGGAUCUUCUGAUGGUACCCCUUCUACUGGACUAUAAAAGCAAGGGAUCCAGAAACUCCAUAAAAGAUUCAGAAGUGCAUGCCAUUAAAAUUGCUCGAAUAUGCUGAAAAAUUAAUUGGGAAUGCAAAAAUAUUCAUUUGUAUUGGCCUGAAUCAGUUCGUGGAGAAGGAUAUAGAAGGUUGAGCUUGUGUGUUUGAAUGAUGCAAACUCUGUAUUGAUCGCGCAGCUUGAAGUUAUGAAACCUAAUCACGUGGCAACAAGAUGCAAUUUGAUGUUGUAGUGUAGUAGUGGCCAAUCAUACUCUCUUAGAUAUUUAUAGUUAGCUGUGAGGAAGAGAACUUGAUGGCUUUUGGAGUUGAAGCACAAAUAGCUUUUGCGAGUCCUUGAUGAUUUGCACAUAAUUUCUGUCAAUAUUACUAUAAAAACAUUGGAUUUGGCAAAUUUUCAACAGAGAACUUUCUGUAUUCUAGUGAAUAGAAGAUUGUCUGUUAUAUUGUGUCUGAAUUUUAUUAAUAACUUAAUUAUGCAGUUAAUUUAGUAGGUUCUAUAUCCUUGAUGUCUCUGUAUGCCAAACUCUAGUGCCUAAGUUUGGCCUGCUGAAACUUAAAACUUACGGUGCAUUGUUCUAGUUAAAAAUGUUGAUUUCUUUUGUAUUUUUUCUACAUUUUCUUGGAAACAUGAAAUUAUGAACAUUUACAUGAAUUUUUCUCAA